UAGGGAAUCUUCGGCAAUGGACGGAAGUCUGACCGAGCAACGCCGCGUGAGUGAAGAAGGUUUUCGGAUCGUAAAGCUCUGUUGUAAGAGAAGAACGAGUGUGAGAGUGGAAAGUUCACACUGUGACGGUAACUUACCAGAAAGGGACGGCUAACUACGUGCCAGCAGCCGCGGUAAUACGUAGGUCCCGAGCGUUAUCCGGAUUUAUUGGGCGUAAAGCGAGCGCAGGCGGUUAGAUAAGUCUGAAGUUAAAGGCUGUGGCUUAACCAUAGUACGCUUUGGAAACUGUUUAACUUGAGUGCAGAAGGGGAGAGUGGAAUUCCAUGUGUAGCGGUGAAAUGCGUAGAUAUAUGGAGGAACACCGGUGGCGAAAGCGGCUCUCUGGUCUGUAACUGACGCUGAGGCUCGAAAGCGUGGGGAGCAAACAGGAUUAGAUACCCUGGUAGUCCACGCCGUAAACGAUGAGUGCUAGGUGUUGGACCCUUUCCGGGGUUUAGUGCCGCAGCUAACGCAUUAANCACUCCGCCUGGGGAGUACGACCGCNGGUU
rnacentral:rRNA from 1 species